GGUCUGUUAGCUCAGUUGGUUAGAGCGUCGUACUAAUAAUGCGAAGGUCAUGAGUUCGACCCUCAUACAGACCA